GGACUGGAGCAGUGUUGAGUCGUAGUACUCACAAGCUGGGCUGUUCGGGACGACCAACCAUGCGUGUUGUUUUGUAUGCAGUUUAAUAAAGUAGAUGAAAUCUACAAACUGCCUUUUCCUUCUGAUGGUUGCUCAGGGGAAAUUGGUGUGCUUUUCUCAAUAAGAGACAGGUCACCUAUUUAUCGGUCUCUCUGGACUGAAGGAGGAUUCCUGAAUGGCAGCCAGAGGAUGACCACCGUACUAAUCGCCCCGGAGUGCCUCGGGAUGCUGGCAGUGCUCCCGGCCGUUAGUCCAUCUAACUAAUUACAUUCCUCCUUCCAAAACCAUGGAGAUAGU